rnacentral:rRNA from 1 species
UACGAAGGGGGCUAGCGUUGUUCGGAAUUACUGGGCGUAAAGCGCACGUAGGCGGGUUGUUAAGUCAGGGGGUGAAAUCCUGGAGCUCAACUCCAGAACUGCCUUUGAUACUGGCAACCUAGAGACUGGAAGAGGUUAGUGGAAUUCCCAGUGUAGAGGUGAAAUUCGUAGAUAUUGGGAAGAACACCAGUGGCGAAGGCAGCAACUUGGUCUGGUAUCGACGCUCAGGCACGAAAGCAUGGGGAUCAAACAGG